rnacentral:rRNA from 1 species
UCCGUAUGUGAUCGGUGACCAACCCCGUAUGAAACCCCUUCGACGAGUCGAGUUGUUUGGGAAUGCAGCUCAAAAUGGGUGGUAAAUUUCAUCUAAAGCUAAAUACCGGCCAGAGACCGAUAGCGCACAAGUAGAGUGAUCGAAAGAUGAAAAGCACUUUGGAAAGAGAGUCAAAAAGUACGUGAAAUUGUUGAAAGGGAAGCGCUUGCAACCAGACCUGUCCGUCGGCGAUCAACCUCCGUUCUCGGGGGUGCACUCGUCGGCGAUCAGGCCAGCAUCGGUCCGAGCGGUCGGACAAAGGCCUUGGGAAUGUAGCUCCUCCCGGGGAGUCUUAUAGCCCUCGGUGCAAUGCGGCCAGCCCGGACCGAGGAUCGCGCUUCGGCUAGGAUGCUGGCGUAAUGGUUGUAAGCGACCCGUCUUGAAACACGGACCAAGGAGUCUAAUAUCUAUGCGAGUGUUUGGGUGUCAAACCCAUACGCGCAAUGAAAGUGAACGGAGGUGAGAACCCUUUAGGGCGCAUCAUCGACCGAUCCAGAUGUCUUCGGAUGGAUUUGAGUACGAGCAUGGCUGUUGGGACCCGAAAGAUGGUGAACUAUGCCUGAAUAGGGUGAAGCCAGAGGAAACUCUGGUGGAGGCUCGCAGCGGU